GAGACACCCCUAUGGCGCAGGACUUGCUUCAGUGGGGCUUUGGUGUUCACUGAGUCUACCCCUUGAGUGUGUCGCU
rfam:Myotis lucifugus cont2.14496, whole genome shotgun sequence.